rnacentral:lncRNA from 1 species
UCAUCAUAAAUGAUGAACAAAUAUGAUCAUCACAAUCCAAAUCUGGCUUUUUGUUUUUGGUAAGGGCCAUAAUGAGUUAAAAACACUAUUAUUAGUAUUAAUGCUUAGUGUUAGACUCAAAAAGGACCUGUAAGAAUUGAUUAAAGCACAUAAAUAACAAAAUCUAGCUCGCUGGAUUGAAGCCACGUGCGCCAUAACUCUUGUGGCGUGCGAGCUUUCCUAGACUAGAGCCCAUAAAAAAAAUACAAACUGUACUAUGUGGAUAAUAAGAUAGUGGCAUGCGCCAUAAUGUAUGGCGUGCGCCGUUGGGUUGUGGCGUGUGCCGCUACACACAUAGACAACACCUUAUAGUUCGUCAUGGGAUUCCCUCACAACCAAGAAGAAGUAGGUGGUUUUAACCAUUAAAGAAAUGCAAAAGAAGAUGAAAUAGAUAAGGACUCUCAGAUAUUACUUGAAUGUGAG